rnacentral:tRNA from 1 species
GCCCUUGUAGUUCAACGGAUAGAACGGAAGUUUCCUAAACUUUAAAUUGCGGUUCGAUUCCGCAUGAGGGUA